rnacentral:rRNA from 1 species
GCCUACGGGGGGCAGCAGUAGGGAAUUUUCGUCAAUGGGCGCAAGCCUGAACGAGCAAUGCCGCGUGAACGAGGAAGGUCUUCGGAUCGUAAAGUUCUGUUGAAGGGGAAAAAGAGCGGAGAGAGGAAAUGGUCUCCGAUUGAUAUUACCCUUCGAGGAAGUCACGGCUAACUACGUGCCAGCAGCCGCGGUAAUACGUAGGAGGCGAGCGUUAUCCGGAAUGAUUGGGCGUAAAGGGUGCGUAGGCGGCCUGCUAAGUCUGGAGUGAAAGGUACCGGCUCAACCGGUACAGGCUCUGGAAACUG